rnacentral:rRNA from 1 species
UACGGAGGGUGCGAGCGUUGUCCGGAAUCACUGGGCGUAAAGGGCGCGUAGGCGGCCUGAUAAGUAGGGGGUGAAAUCUUGCGGCUUAACCGCAAGGCUGCCUUCUAAACUGUCAGGCUAGAGCACAGUAGAGGCAGGUGGAAUUCCCGGUGUAGCGGUGGAAUGCGUAGAGAUCGGGAAGAACAUCAGUGGCGAAGGCGGCCUGCUGGGCUGUUGCUGACGCUGAGGCGCGACAGCGUGAGGAGCAAACAGG